rnacentral:rRNA from 1 species
UCUUUCUUUUGCUGGCGACCGGCGCACGGGUGAGUAACACGUAUCCAACCUGCCCUUUACUCGGGGAUAGCCUUUCGAAAGAAAGAUUAAUACCCGAUAGCAUAAUGAUUCCGCAUGGUUUCAUUAUUAAAGGAUUCCGGUAAAGGAUGGGGAUGCGUUCCAUUAGUUUGUUGGCGGGGUAACGGCCCACCAAGACUACGAUGGAUAGGGGUUCUGAGAGGAAGGUCCCCCACAUUGGAACUGAGACACGGUCCAA